rnacentral:rRNA from 1 species
UACAGAGGUCCCAAGCGUUGUUCGGAUUCAUUGGGCGUAAAGGGUGCGUAGGUGGCGCGCUAAGUCAGGUGUGAAAUUUCGGAGCUUAACUCCGAAACUGCAUUUGAUACUGGCGUGCUUGAGGACUGGAGAGGAGACUGGAAUUUACGGUGUAGCAGUGAAAUGCGUAGAGAUCGUAAGGAAGACCAGUGGCGAAGGCGGGUCUCUGGACAGUUACUGACACUGAGGCACGAAGGCCAGGGGAGCAAACGGG